rnacentral:rRNA from 1 species
AUUGAACGCUGGCGGCAGGCCUAACACAUGCAAGUCGAACGAGUGGCGGACGGGUGAGUAAUGUCUGGGAAACUGCCCGAUGGAGGGGGAUAACUACUGGAAACGGUAGCUAAUACCGCAUACCAUCGGAUGUGCCCAGAUGGGAUUAGGUUGUAGGUGGGGUAAAGGCCUACCAAGGCGACGAUCCGUAACUGGUCUGAGAGGAUGAUCAGUCACACUGGAACUGAGACACGGUCCAGACUCCUACGGGAGGCAGCAGUGGGGAAUAUUGGACAAUGGGCGAAAGCCUGAUCCAGCCAUGCCGCGUGUGUGAAGAAGGUCUUCGGAUUGUAAAGCACUUUCAGCGGGGAGGCGUUACCCGCAGAAGAAGCACCGGCUAACUCCGUGCCAGCAGCCGCGGUAAUUC